rnacentral:rRNA from 1 species
UCCUACGGGAGGCAGCAGUAAGGAAUAUUGGUCAAUGGAGGCAACUCUGAACCAGCCAUGCCGCGUGCAGGAAGACAGCCCUCUGGGUCGUAAACUGCUUUUAUUCGGGAAUAAACCUACUUACGUGUAAGUAGCUGAAUGUACCGAAGGAAUAAGGAUCGGCUAACUCCGUGCCAGCAGCCGCGGUAAUACGGAGGAUCCAAGCGUUAUCCGGAUUUAUUGGGUUUAAAGGGUGCGUAGGCGGCUUAUUAAGUCAGGGGUGAAAGACGGUGGCUCAACCAUCGCAGUGCCCUUGAUACUGAUGAGCUUGAAUGAACUAGAGGUAGGCGGAAUGUGACAAGUAGCGGUGAAAUGCAUAGAUAUGUCACAGAACACCGAUUGCGAAGGCAGCUUACUAUGGUUUUAUUGACGCUGAGGCACGAAAGCGUGGGGAUCAAACAGGAUUAGAUACCCUGGUAGUCCACGCCCUAAACGAUGAAUACUCGCUGUUAGCGAUAUACAGUUAGCGGCUAAGCGAAAGCGUUAAGUAUUCCACCUGGGGAGUACGCCCGCAAGGGUGAAACUCAAAGGAAUUGACGG